GAAUGUGAGGGUGAUCUGGCUAUCACUUCAGUGAUCUCCAGGGUUGAUUAGGCUAUUUAGUUGGCUAGGUGAGUGUCCCCUUCCUCCCUCUCUGCUCUAUGUGCAUCUCUCCCAAGUUGCAUCGAAGAAAACAAACUUCCCCAAAUAGAGAUGAUCUUUGGUUAAGAAUAUAUGAAUAGGGGAGUUGGGCAGUAGCGCAGCAAUUAAGCGCAGAUGGCACAAAGUGGAAGGAUCCUGGUUCGAGCCCCCGGCUCCCUACUGGCGGGGGAAGUCACUUCACAGGAGGUGAAGCAGGUCUGCAGGUGUCUGUCUUUCUCUUCCC
rnacentral:sRNA from 1 species